AAUAACAAAAAUAUAUGUUCCUAUAUAUAGGCCUUGCUUUGAUAUUUGCAAGACUCUUAGAUGUGGGAUAGAAUAAUAUUUAAUCUGUCGGGGAAAAAGGCACAAGCUUGCCAGGCGGAUGUGGAAUUAGCUGGGAAAGAAAGUUUCGGAAUCCGGCUUACUCUCCAAAAACACCCAGAUUCCGGACCAAAAUUUUUUCUAGCGUAAGUGGAACUGCAGCAUCUGGAAAGACGUAUUAUUUGCUCUCCUAAAUGCCAGGCUCUUUCCCCAUACGUACUCGCACGGAGAAUAUGUUCCGUAUUUUAAAUUAUAGUAAAAAUAAGUGGUGUACAGCAAAAAAAACCCCAACAACUUGUGAACUCUCUGAAAAGCCAUCAAAAACCAGCAAACCCCUGAACUUCCCAAAUCCUUCUCUAACAUGUACCUACUUGUUUCUGUACAGGGCCAUGAGAUGCAGUGAGGUCUCGGUGUCAUCCACCAUUGACUGGCCCUGCGAUCAGCCGUUAUAUCGCUGCGUUGCAGAGACUUUACCCCCAUGUGCUGUUGUUAAAGGGACACAAACCAGGAAAGAGAAGUGAGGUUAUUUUAAGACUGAACAUAACCAAAGGGCUUGGAAAUCAUUCCCUCUAAGCAAGGAAGACCAGAGUCCUCCGCCGGCGCGAAUUCACCAGGGAGCAGCACCCCUCUCUCCUGCUGGCACCGCGUGCCGCGGUCACACUGUCCGUGCCUCCGCAUCCUGCGCUCCCUCGCUGUCUUAUCUCGGGGAUCUCAAAGCUUUGCAGUCCCCGUCCACCUUCCGGAGGUUAGUCUCAGCUUUGUUUUUCCAGCUGGAGCAGCUGAGACAGUUGCAGGCGAGACACCGUAAGAACGCGCAACAAGAUGAUGGCAGCAGGACUCAAAAGAAUUCAAAAAGAGAAAUAAAAAAUCCCGAUGUCUGCAUCGUUUUUAGCCCCUUCUUCUUUGCUUGUAACUGCAUUAAACCUGCUGGCAUAUAUACUUAAGUACUCCUCAUAGAGAGAUCUCAAAGCACUUUAGAAAAGAAGCUGAUAUGGAUUUGUCCCCAUUUUAAAAUCGGACUCAAGGCGUAAGCAGGCACAGUGUUCUCCGAGAGUCUCCUGCAGGCCGCUGGCAAAGGCAGGGCCAGUAUCUAGGUCUCCUGAGCCCCAGAGUACUGGUCUGUCCCUGAAACCUGGAUUUCUUCAGGGGAACGAGGAGGCUUUUUUGUGUUGCACAGCUGUGACUACGAGUCCGCUUCCUCAGCAAUGAGUAUGACCAGCCCUCAAGGGCCAGCACUUGCUUUGCUCCACAGCAUAAGACUUUUCCUUGGGCAACGGCUUGUGGCACGGGGAGGAAGAACAGUAGUAGCAUGGGAUAGGAGCGCCUGGGGACGUCAAGGAUGAGUUAGACUACUUUUCCCCACCUUCCACUUGCAGCUGGAUAGGGGAGAGAACCUGCCCGGGGCUUCGGCCCACAGGAGGAAGCAGCGGUGGUGAUGCGGCCCUCUGGAAGCCGCCCCGCCUCUGCGUGUCCUGGGCUUGAGACGGUGACGGAGCAGCUGAAGCCUGGAAGGUGGUGGUGUGCUCGCAGGUGACGUACAGCUCUUGCGGCGGGUUCAUAAAUGCAGUUCUUGGAACUGAACUGAAGGCUUAGCUGCAGGACCGACUCUGCGUACGCUGCAUGGUGCGGACUCUGUCACACUGAUAACGUCAACUAUUCCCAAGGAUUCCUAACUCAAGAGUUUUCCCCCGCUGCAGUCAGCUAAGCUUCCCCUCUUCCCCCCGCUCAGAGAUGGCCACAUUUGAGCAGAUCCCGUUUCUGGAGUGUGUCCCUUUCCCAGGAAACCAAAAUAUAUUCAGAGCAAAGAAUGAUUAACGGAAGCGUAUGGACUGCCAGGGCGGAGCCUAGAGCCGAGUUUGCCUCUCCCAGGGCAGCAGCGCUCUUCCCUGCGCCCGCAGGAGCGGACUGGGCUGGGUCGCCAGGUAAUUGUCCCUUCUCCCUGUGGCCUUUCUAUUUCGUCCCACAAUGCAGCCUGAUUGUGUUACUAAUUGCUCUCUCCUGGUGAGCAAGUUACAGCCCUGCAAGUCACAGAGUCUGCCUUCACCCGGCUUUAAUUAUUCAGCUACACCUUCCUUCUGCCUUUUUUUUUUCC